UACAGAGGGGGCAAGCGUUGUUCGGAAUUAUUGGGUUUAAAGGGUGCGUAGGCGGUCCCUUAAGUCAGUGGUGAAAUACUCUAGCUCAACUAGAGAGGUGCCAUUGAUACUGAGGGACUUGAGUGAAGUCGAAGUAGGCGGAAUUGACGGUGUAGCGGUGAAAUGCUUAGAUAUCGUCAAGAACACCGAUAGUGAAGACAGCUUACUAGACUUAUACUGACGCUGAGGCACGAAAGUGUGGGGAUCAAACAGG
rnacentral:rRNA from 1 species